rnacentral:rRNA from 1 species
CCUACGGGAGGCAGCAGUGAGGAAUAUUGGUCAAUGGGCGGAAGCCUGAACCAGCCAUGCCGCGUGCAGGAUGACGGCCCUACGGGUUGUAAACUGCUUUUGUACGGGAGUAAGCCUCCAUACGUGUAGGGCUUUGCAUGUACCGUAUGCAUAAGGACCGGCUAAUUCCGUGCCAGCAGCCGCGGUAAUACGGAAGGUCCGGGGGUUAUCCGGAUUUAUUGGGUUUAAAGGGUGCGUAGAUGGGUUGUUAAGUCAGGUGUGAAAUGUUCGGGCUUAACCGGGGAAGUGCCAUUGAUACUGGUGGACUUGAGUACAGGUGCGGUAGGCGGAAUUCGUGGUGUAGCGGUGAAAUGCUUAGAUAUCAUGCAGAACUCCGAUUGCGAAGGCAGCUUACUAAUCUACAACUGACGUUGAGGCACGAAAGCGUGGGGAUCAAACAGGAUUAGAUACCCGGGUAGUC